CGACAUACCCAGGGGCACACCGUUUUGCUAUAGCUUCCAGGUUGAACGACAUGUUUCCUCCAAACGGUGCGCAACCGGCUUUGAGGAAAUACAAAUACAAAUCCUGUUUCAUCGAAGUUCAUUUGAAGUUUCCUUUUCUACAAGAAUGGAAAGGAGGUAGGAGCUCUGUGACGCUGUUGCCAACACCAGCCUCCCGAUGGUUUCUUCAAUCCUAACCAGCUUUUUAAAAAUAUUUUUAGGGUUUUUGUUUACAGUUUUUUACAGGUGGAUGAACUUGCUGGAGGUAAUAAGCCAUGGCUACAGGAGAAGGUGGCAAAUUUAAAAUGACCUGCCUGAUUUAUUGCGUAUCUUGAAUUUAAUAUAAAGUUCUGUGGGUUUUCGGCAUGAAUUUGUAAAGAUGGGCACACUGGUGGUCUGACAUAGUUAAAGAAGUUAAGGCAAAUAUGGACUAGUUUUUAAAGAAGCAAGCUAGUAAUAUUUAGCUUUGCAGUAGAUAAAUGAGCACUUUCAAGCUUAGUGCGUUAGCAUCAAUGGUAUAAAUUUAUGAUUCCAUCUAUUUCUGUCAUUGAUAUCAAAUGGAAAUAAAUAAUUAUAUAUAAAUGAUAGCAGUGGUCAAAUUCAGGUGAGUUUCUCAAGAAUAAACAUCACAACAAAAACAGGUGACCUCUACAUGUAUUGAAUAGCUUUUGCCAGAACCAACAGCACUAAUGGGAUGGAGUAAUAAUUAGCUAGGCUGCCAGGAACAGCAGUAUCAUGUUGUUGUUGGCUCUUGUCCUAAUCAGUUUUGGUUAUAAGGUACAGCUGUACAGCAGCCAAAUGUUUUCCUUGAAAAGACAGUUUUACUUUGAGGAAAUGUUGCACUAAAAUGAUAGGUCAGUAAUGUCAGUUGCUGAUGAGUCCUGAUGUCCAAGAGGUGGCGAUGUCCUUCCACUGAGAAUUUAUUCUGAUUUACAGAUUCUGACAGCUGAUACGCUGUCCUACAUGACACAAUCCAAGUAACACUGUUUGAAGUGUUGUUUUCCAAACAUUUUAUUGUGUUUUCUCCAUCACAAACAGCAAAAAGACCUCUCCAAAACAAAAAACUUCUUAGCAGAAGAAGAAGUGGAGUGGACAAUCACACAAUGGUUAUGUCUCUAUGAUGUGGGACAUUCAAAAUGUAAAGGGACAGAGCAGUUUUUAGUGGGACAGUGCUCUUCCAGACAGAUCUUUUGAAAAAAAAAACUUUUUAAAAACAGCAUUUGAUGAGUUAUGUUGUAUGGCCUUUCAAGAGACCAAAUCAGAGAUCAUGUCUGACCUCUGGGUGAGAUUAAUGUGGAGUCCAAUCUGAAAAUGCCAGGUUUAAUGUUAUAGGAAAUAUCAAAUUAAACAUAUUGUGUUUGGUUUCCAUUUACUUACAAAUUUUCAUCAUUAUGGUUGUUGUGACUUGGUUUACACAACUAGCUAGCUAGAUUUUUUAUUUUUUUAUGUGUAGCAUAUCUCAUUCAAAGAUAGAAAAAUGUGACACUAGCUACUUUUAAAAUACUACAUAUUAAAGGUCUAUAUUAUUUUAUAUCUUUCAACAAUGUUCUUUUUAUUGCUAGUUGUUCUACAAAGCCACAAUAAAUGAACACAACUGUUUUAAACCAUGACUGUUGCUUUACCCUCCCACACACUACUGACUAAUGAGGAAAUUACAAUGAAAUGAUAAAAAAUCAUCACAAAAGAGAAGGACUGACUUCUGCUUUGUAUGUUAUGUCACAAUUUAUUCACAAUCAUUUUAGAUGAAAAUGUGUAUUUAUAUUUUUGAAGAAAUAGGUGUACACAUGACUUUGAUUAUUUUACUGUGCUGUACCUUUGAAAUACAAGUAUUUUAAUUGCCUACAGAAACACCUCUUUUAGUUAUUAUGUAGUUAGUAAGUAGAUAUAUGAUGUUUAACAUAUUGUUCAGAAUAUAGGUUUGUUGUGUCACCUCAUCAUGCCUUCCUUUCUCGCUGGCACUCAGAAAAUUAAAAAGUUGG